rnacentral:rRNA from 1 species
AUUGAACGCUGGCGGCAGGCCUAACACAUGCAAGUCGAGCGGAUGAGGGGAGCUUGCUCUCUGAUUCAGCGGCGGACGGGUGAGUAAUGCCUAGGAAUCUGCCUGGUAGUGGGGGACAACGUUUCGAAAGGAACGCUAAUACCGCAUACGUCCUACGGGAGAAAGUGGGGGAUCUUCGGACCUCACGCUAUCAGAUGAGCCUAGGUACGAUUAGCUAGUUGGUGAGGUAAAGGCUCACCAAGGCGACGAUCGUUAACUGGUCUGAGAGGAUGAUCAGUCACCCUGGAACUGAGACACGGUCCCGACUCCUACGGGAGGCAGCAGUGGGGAAUAUUGGACAAUGGGCGAAAGCCUGAUCCAGCCAUGCCGCGUGCGUGAAGAAGGUCUUCGGAUUGUAAAGCACUUUAAGUUGGGAGGAAGGGCAGUAAGUUAAUACCUUGCUGUUUUGACGUUACCAACAGAAUAAGCACCGGCUAACUUCGUGCCAGCCGCCGCCGUAA